UCAAAACCCAAGACCAAGACAAACCUGGAUAUUUUUAGAGACAACUUUUUAAUCAAAAGUAGGAUGUUCUGGAAUUUCAGUGCACUUCAAGGAAUUGCAGAAGCAUAGACUGGAUAAUGCUGAAUUAAAGUGUCAGCUCUAUUGUCUUCUGAUCAAUAAGAUCCCUUAAAGAACCCAGAGACACAGACAAAAGAAGAAAAGACUGUGCUGAAUUUUAAGUGAUCUGAAUUUGGCUGAGGAUGAGCAAGCAGCUGUAGCCUUCAAACAUUCUUCUCGAGAAUUCUACAGGAAGUCUGAGCAAAAGAGAGUACCUGAUUAAUCACCCUGUCCCAAACCAGCCACAGGAAGUCAUUGCUUCUGGAUGGGUCUGACUUUUGUAAUAAUGAAGGGAUCAAGAGCAGUGGUGCCAGUAACAGCCAAGCUGAGAGGGAGCCCGGCUGAGCCCAAAGGUGCACAAGGGAGUGGUAGGAAAAUGACAACCCCACAGCGCUUUUGUUCCCAGUGGUAAACACCUUUUUGGAGUUCAACACAGAAAUACCUAUGUUCAAGGUAGUCAGCAUUGAAGUGGGGGCUCUUGUUUUGAGAAUCCUUCAGACUGAACCUCUGUCUGUAUGCAGAAUCAAACAAAUUCAAGCAGAAGAUCUCAAAAGAAUGAGGU